UACGUAGGGUGCGAGCGUUAAUCGGAAUUACUGGGCGUAAAGCGUGCGUAGGCGGUUCUCCAAGUCCGUUGUGAAAGCCCCGGGCUUAACCUGGGAAUGGCAGUGGAAACUAGGGGGCUUGAAUCUGGCAGAGGGGGGUGGAAUUCCACGUGUAGCAGUGAAAUGCGUAGAGAUGUGGAGGAACACCGAUGGCGAAGGCAGCCCCCUGGGCUGAGAUUGACGCUGAGGCACGAAGCGUGGGGAGCAAACAGG
rnacentral:rRNA from 1 species